UGCUUAUCUUACCUGCCGUUUAGUGGGGGAUAAAAUACCGCAUAUUCUGGUUUCGACCAGGAAAGGACUUCGGUUCGCUAAAUGAUGGGGAUAAGUCGUAUUAGUUUGUUGGUGGGGUAAAGGCCUACCAAGACCAAGAUGCGUAGCCAAACUGAGAGGUUGAAUGGUCACAGGGAAACUGAGACACGGUUCCCACUCCUACGGGAGGCAGCAGUGAGGAAUAUUCCGCAAUGGGCGAAAGCCUGACGGAGCGAUGCUACGUGAAGGAUGAAGGUCUACGGAUUGUAAACUUCUUUACUUGGAUGUACUCCUUAAAACUUGCAUCCGAGCAAAAAGUCACGACUAACUAUGUGCCAGCAGUCGCGGUAAGACAUAGGUGGCGAACGUUAUCCGGAAUUAUUGGGCGUAAAGGAUGCGUAGAUGGUAGAAUAAGUUAUUGGUUGAUACCAAACUCAAUUUGGUGGAGGCUGGUAAUACUGUUCGGCUAGAGGGCAGGAGAAGUUGAUGGAAUUCUGUGUGGAGCGGUGAAAUGCGUUGAUCUACAGAGGAACACCAAAAAAGGCGAAGGCAGUCAACUAUUCUGUUCCUGACAUUGAGGCAUGAAAGCGUGGGGAGCAAACCGGAUUAGAUACCCGGGUAGUCCACGCCCUAAACGAUGAGCAUUAGAUAUUGGGCAUUUUGCUUAGUAUCGCAGCUAACGCUUUAAAUGCUCCGCCUGAGUACUACGGUCGCAAGGCUAAAACUCAAAGGAAUUGACGGGGACCCGCACAAGCGGUGGAGCAUGUGGUUUAAUUCGAUACGACGCGCAGAACCUUACCAAGGUUUGACAUGGAGGGCAAUGUUGAAGAAACUCAACGGAGGUUAUCCCGACACAGGUGGUGCAUGGUCGUCGUCAGUUCGUGCUGUGAAGCGUACGCUUAAGUGCUAGAACGAACGCAACCCUCAUAUUUAGUUGCUAUCAUUUAGUUGAGAACUCUAAAUAGACUGCUAAGAUAACUUAGAGGAAGGAGAGGAUCAAGUCUGGUCAUC
rnacentral:rRNA from 1 species